GAUGAACGCUGGCGGCGUGCCUAAUACAUGCAAGUCGAGCGAACAGAUAAGGAGCUUGCUCCUUUGACGUUAGCGGCGGACGGGUGAGUAACACGUGGGUAACCUACCUAUAAGACUGGGAUAACUUCGGGAAACCGGAGCUAAUACCGGAUAAUAUUUCGAACCGCAUGGUUCGAUAGUGAAAGAUGGUUUUGCUAUCACUUAUAGAUGGACCCGCGCCGUAUUAGCUAGUUGGUAAGGUAACGGCUUACCAAGGCGACGAUACGUAGCCGACCUGAGAGGGUGAUCGGCCACACUGGAACUGAGACACGGUCCAGACUCCUACGGGAGGCAGCAGUAGGGAAUCUUCCGCAAUGGGCGAAAGCCUGACGGAGCAACGCCGCGUGAGUGAUGAAGGUCUUCGGAUCGUAAAACUCUGUUAUGAGGGAAGAACAUACGUGUAAGUAACUGUGCACGUCGUGACGGUACCUAAUCAGAAAGCCACGGCUAACUACGUG
rnacentral:rRNA from 1 species